rnacentral:tRNA from 1 species
GCCCCUGUGGCGCAGUGGCAGCGCGUUCCCAUGGUAAGGGGAAGGUCGAGGGUUCAAUUCCCUCCCGGGGCU